rnacentral:sRNA from 1 species
GCUGGGCUCAGUGGUACGUGCCUGUUCUUCUAGCUACUCUGGAGGCUGAGGCAGGGAACUCACUUGAGCCUGGGAAUUUGUGACCAACCUGGUCAAAAUAGAGAGACCCCAGCUUAU